rnacentral:rRNA from 1 species
GACGAACGCUGGCGGCGUGCUUAACACAUGCAAGUCGAACGAUGAAGCUAGAGCUUGCUCUGGUGGAUUAGUGGCGAACGGGUGAGUAACACGUGAGUAACCUGCCCCGAACUCUGGGAUAACUGCUGGAAACGGUAGCUAAUACCGGAUAUGACCAAUGAAGGCAUCUUCUGUUGGUGGAAAGAAUUUCGGUUCGGGAUGGACUCGCGGCCUAUCAGCUUGUUGGUGAGGUAACGGCUCACCAAGGCGACGACGGGUUGCCGGCCUGAGAGGGUGAUCGGCCACACUGGGACUGAGACACGGCCCAGACUCCUACGGGAGGCAGCAGUGGGGAAUAUUGCACAAUGGGCGCAAGCCUGAUGCAGCAACGCCGCGUGAGGGAUGACGGCCUUCGGGUUGUAAACCUCUUUUAGUAGGGAAGAAGCGAAAGUGACGGUACCUGCAGAAAAAGCACCGGCUAACUACGUGCCAGCAGCCGCCGUAA